CAUCACUACGCUAGAUGCAUAUCAAUAAGCGGAGGAAAAGAAACUAACUAGGAUUCCCUUAGUAACGGCGAGUGAAGCGGGAAGAGCUCAAAUUUGAAAUCUUCAAGGUUUUACCUUGACGAAUUGUAGUUUAAAGAAGUGUUUUCUGUUGAAGUUUUGGUAAAAGUUCUUUGGAAUAGGACAUCAUAGAGGGUGAGAAUCCCGUAUUUGACCAUUAUUUUCAGCUGUGUGAUACACUUUCAAAGAGUCGGAUUGUUUGGGAAUGCAGUCCAAAAUGGGUGGUAAAUUUCAUCUAAAGCUAAAUAUUGGCGAGAGACCGAUAGCGAACAAGUACCGUGAGGGAAAGAUGAAAAGAACUUUGAAAAGAGAGUUAAACAGUACGUGAAAUUGUCAAAAGGGAAGCGUUUGACACCAGUGUUGUUUAGUUGAAAAUCAAUUCAAUAAUUUUUGAUUUUGAGUAGUAUUGACUUCAUCAGCUUGCUGCUUUCUUUUCCGAAAUUAUUGAAUGCACUUUUCAGUUAACAAGUCAACAUCAAUUUCUUUUGUUGUAAAAGGGUAAGAGGAAGGUGGCUUACGCUUCGGCGUAAGUGUUUACAGCCUUUUACCUCUGCAAUCGGAGAGAUUGAGGACAGCAGCGUAGACUCCUUCGGGGGUUAGAUACACUUGUGCUAAGCUAUAGCCUUGUAUAGACAACUUGUUGACUAUGCUCAGUCAUGUAGCUUACUCGCUUGUGCUAUUUUACCUACGCUUAGGAUGUUGAAGAUAUGCGCGACACG
rnacentral:rRNA from 1 species